UUAGUGGCGAACGGGUGAGUAACACGUAUCUAACCUACCAUUUAGUGGGGAAUAACUGUUGGAAACGACAGCUAAUACCGCAUAUGUUAUUUAUUUGCAAUGAUAAAUAAUGAAAGGAGCAUUUGCUUCGCUAAUUGAUGGGGAUGCGGCGCAUUAACUAGUUGGUAAGGUAAUGGCUUACCAAGGUAACAAUGCGUAGCCGAUCUGAGAGGAUGAACGGCCACAUUGGGACUGAGACACGGCCCAA
rnacentral:rRNA from 1 species